rnacentral:snRNA from 1 species
GUCCCUCUGGAGAGAUACUAGGAUCCCGAAGGUGGUUUUUCCAGGGUGAGGCUUAUCUAUUUUACUCCAGAGAUGCUGCCCCUGUGAUUUCUUCCAAUGUAGGAAACUCAACUGCAUAAUUUGUGGUAGUGAGAGACUGCAUUUGUGCCCUCCCUGG